AGUCCAUACAGGUAUCGUGAAACCCAUUGAGUAUUACUAUUCAACUUAAUGAUUGCAAUAGUACAUUGGUCCCAUCCUGAUUCCUUUGUUUUUCAUUGUUUAUAUUUGAUAGUAGUCUUUUCAGUUCUGGAGUUAGUGGCGAGAUUCCUUCAACAUUUGAAAAUCUCCGAAGCUUGGAACAAUUGUGGGCAUUAGAUAAUGAGCUUACAGGCAAGAUUCCAUAUUUCAUAGGAAGUUGGUCAAAUCUUAUUAACAUGGUAUUACAAAGAAAUUAUUUUCAAGGGCCUAUACCAUCAACGUUUGUGAAUCUGACUUCUGUAGUACAAUUGCGGUUGAGUGAUAUAUCUAAUGCAAGUUCUCCCCUUGCAUUUAUCGCCAAUAUGAAGUCUCUA